CUUUAUGCAAAUAGACUUCAAAAGCACUUUCGAAACGUCAUUAUAGAAAUUAAAAUUUUAAAUUUGCUUAAAGUGAAGUUUCGUAACGCGAGGAGGUUCUC